CUUCGGGGCCUACCGACCCAACUGGUAGUAGGUCAGCAAUGGGGUGACGCGGAAGGGUAAGUGGACCCAGGCGAUGGUUGACCUGGGGUAAACAUGUAGGUUGGAGUCCAGGCAAAUCCGGACUCCGCGAAGACCGAGGUGUGAUGCCGAGUCGCGUAAGACGAAGCCACUGAACGCCCAUGCUGCCUAGAAAAGCCUCUAGCCAGCUCGUGUGGUACCCGUACCCCAAACCGACACAGGUGGACAGGUAGAGAAUACUAAGGCGAGCGAGAAAACUCUGGUUAAGGAAUUCGGCAAAAUGGUUCCGUAACUUCGGGAGAAGGAACGCCCCGGUAGGGUGAAGGACGUACGUCCGGAGCUCGAUGGGGUCGCAGAAACCAGGCCCAAGCGACUGUUUACUAAAAACACAGGAGCGUGCGAAGUCGCAAGACGCUGUAUACGCUCUGACGCCUGCCCGGUGCUGGAAGGUCAAGUGGAUCGGUUAGCUCUUCGGAGCGAAGCUGUGAAAUCAAGCCCCAGUAAACGGCGGCGGUAACUAUAACCGUUGGCAGUAAACACGAAAUAGGCGGUUAGAAAACCUAGCCAUAUGCUGGAAUACCCGAGUAUCCGACGGUACUCGUUCAUGUCACACCGUAUUCGUACGGUGCCGGCAUGAGCAGUGAAAAUCCGAUCGGUGCGGGCAAUCAGCAGGAAACCAAAGAGUUAGAGAAACCACUCGAUCCAUGGUGGAUUGUCGGGUUUGUUGAUGGCGAAGGAUGCUUUUCAGUAAGCGUCCAUCACAAUCCAAUCAACGCUCGACGCAAUGGAGGUUGGCAGCUCACGCCGACCUUCCAUCUGUACCAGCAUGAGAAGGAGAGCAAACUCCUAGCGCGAGUGGCAGGUUUCUUCGGAUGCGGACGCAUCUACUCGAAGGGCCCCAACAGCAGAGUGCUGUCCUAUACGGUCAGUUCGCUGCGGGAGCUCGAGACACAGAUAAUUCCGUUCUUUGAAGAACACCGACCUCUGAUCAAAGGUCCAGACUUCGAUCUGUUCUCGUCGAUCGUUCGAUCGAUGAGGUUGAAAGAACAUCUGGAGCCGGACGGAUUCAAUAGAGUCGUGACACUGGCGUACGCAAUGAAUGCGAACGGUAAACAGCGAUCACGCCCAAUUGAGGAAGUCCUGCAGGGAUCCUCAGAGACUAUACGCUAGGCGCCGCAGUGAGCUGCGGUGAUGAGAUAGUCCGAUCCACAUGGCGACAUGUGGAGUCAGGCAGAAAUGUCCUGACCACUCAGGUUCACGCCGACAUGUGAACACACUGAGUAGUAACAAGAAUGCCUAAGGUAGCGAAAUUCCUUGUCGGGUAAGACAAGGGCUGGUCUUCGACCAGCUAGAACUUGCCCUGUGUGGAGGUGACUCCACACGACAACCCCGCUCAUAACGGCGAAGCCCUAAACCGUCAAUCGGCGAACUUCAGCGAUGUCGUAGGAGACGACUUCAUCGUGGGUUUGUUUGCGACGGCGGGUAAUGCCGUGGGAAGUCCUCUGCUCGGUAACGAGUAUGACCCCGUAACGACUGAACCGAAAGGUGAGGCGUCGGUUGCUGUCACUGCCCAACGUUACGUUGGCGCUAUGGCAAAUCUAGAACCGGUGCAAUACGCGGGCUCUUGGCUAGGGAACAUCCACUUUCCGAGCUACAUCUCGGGCUACUUCGAUGGCGAAGGCUGCUUUUCAGUAGCAAUCGCUCCUCGAAACAAGCUCAAGAUCGGCUGGGAAGUUCGACCAAGCGUCUCUGUCAGCCAAAACGCCGACAGAGCAGAGGUCCUCGAGUCGAUCCACGACUAUUUCGGUUGUGGAACAAUUCGACCGGACCCGAGCGACGCAACGCUGAAGUGGGAAUCACGCAGUGUCAGUGAUCUGACAUCGCUAGUUCUCCCACACUUCAGGAUGUAUCCCCUGCAUUCAGGGAAGUCCAGAGACUUCGAGUCGCUCGACGCCAUCUGCCGGCUGAUUGAGGCCGGCCACCAUCUCCGCAGGAGCGGGCUGGUGAAGGUAGUUGAGCACGCUCGGGUGAUGAAUCCGAGCGGUCGAAGACGAUACGACCCUGACGAGAUCCUCCAAGAUCUCCGAACAAGAUGAAGGCAUAGUCUGUGCCGCUGGAAACAGUGGAGGAACAUGAAGUUCCGACCUGCACGAAUGGCGCAACGACUUGGGCACUGUCUCAACCAGAGACUCGGCGAAAUUGCAAUGUGAGUAAAGAUGCUCACUACUCGCGACAGGACGGAAAGACCCCGGGACCUUUACUGCAACUUGACAUUGGAGUUCGACAUGUGAUGUGUAGGAUAGGUGGGAGGCUUUGAAGCAGCACCGCUAGGUGUUGUGGAGCCACUGUUGAAAUACCACCCUUCUCAUGUUGGCCUUCUAACCUCGGUCCGUUAUCCGGAUCAGGAACAGUGUCUGGUGGGCAGUUUCACUGGGGUGGUGGCCUCCCAAAAUGUAACGGAGGCGCCCAAAGGUUCCCUCAGUCUGGUUGGCAAUCAGACGCCGAGUGUAAGGGCACAAGGGAGCUUGACUGCGACACAGACAAGUGGAGCAGGUACGAAAGUAGGGCCUAGUGAUCCCUCGCCGGCAUGUGGAUGCGGCGAGGCCAACGGCUAAAAGGUACCCCGGGGAUAACAGGCUCAUACCGCCCAAGAGUCCAUAUCGACGGCGGUGUUUGGCACCUCGAUGUCGGCUCGUCUCAUCCUGGGGCUGAAGCAGGUCCCAAGGGUCGGGCUGUUCGCCCGUUAAAGAGGCACGCGAGCUGGGUUUAGAACGUCGUGAGACAGUUCGGUCCCUAUCCGUCGCGAGCGCAGGAGAUUUGAGGAGAUCUGUCCCUAGUACGAGAGGACCGGGAUGGACGGACCUCUGGUGUGCCAGUUGUUCUGCCAAGAGCACGGCUGGUUUGCUACGUCCGGAACGGAUAAGCGCUGAAAGCAUCUAAGCGCGAAGCCGGCUCCAAGAUGAGAUCUCCCACCGGAUCAACCGGGUAAGACCCCUGGUGAGAACACCAGGUUGAUAGGCCAGAAGUGGAAGCACAGCAAUGUGUGGAGCUGACUGGUACUAAUAGGUCGAGGGCUUUGAUUUG
rnacentral:rRNA from 1 species